CAGCAGCCGCGGUAAUACGUAGGUGGCGAGCGUUGUCCGGAUUUAUUGGGUUUAAAGGGUGCGUAGGCGGCCCCGUUAGUCAGCGGUGAAAUACGGCAGCUUAACUGUCGAGGUGCCGUUGAUACUGCGGGGCUUGAGUGCGGUCGAGGAGGGCGGAAUUGACGGUGUAGCGGUGAAAUGCUUAGAUAUCGUCAAGAACACCGAUAGCGAAGGCAGCCCUCCAGGCCGCAACUGACGCUGAGGCACGAAAGUGCGGGGAUCAAACAGGAUUAGAUACCCUGGUAGUCCGCACAGUAAACGAUGGUCACUCGGUGUUGGCGAUACACAGCCAGCGCCUUAGCGAAAGCGAUAAGUGACCCACCUGGGGAGUACGCCCGCAAGGGUGAAACUCAAAGGAAUUGACGG
rnacentral:rRNA from 1 species